CAGUUUUUCUCCAGAGGACCCUGAGAGUCUGCAACUGCCUCCAGUCCUCUGACCAUGACUGGAAUACACUUCCAUUCCUCCUGUGGGUGUGCACUCAGAGCACCACUGCAGGAAUGACGAUAAAAUCCUGUCUAUCACGGGCCUGUGUUUGUUGAGACUUAGCAGUUGCUGGACAUACAGUCUUUUCAUUUCAACAGUUAAAAUGAAGAGAUGCGGCAGCUGAAGGGACUCAGACCACAAAGUGCCCUGCAUGCUAGAGAGACAACAGAGAAUGUACAGGGCAGACCUGGUCCAUGGAAGGAUCGCACACUGUGGAGGGGUAGACACUUGUCCAAUGGUAGGAAGGUAAGUUCAGGGUACCCAUAACCUACAGUAGGGUGAUUGCUCUAGGUAGACUUUGACUAGAGAGCUGAAAAUAACACAGAAUAGGAAAGACAAGGUUCUGACUUGAGCCAAGCCUUCAGAAGAAGGGAACUUUAAAAAGUGGUACUAGAUGACUGGCAGCUCCCUAGGGGUCUUUCUCUUGGUGAUCCUGAGAAUAUUCUGGAUAGCUUUCUACAAAGCUGCACAAGAACAGAGCUGUGAUGUUUAAGGGAUGGCCUAAGCAUAGUAUGGACAGACCGUGACACACUGGCCCUAUGAAAGGAAGCCAGGAGGUACCUUCUACAUUUGUCCAGGUGAGGGGGGAAUAUAAACUGGCUCAUGGUUACAGGGAAAGGGAUGGCCAUGGUAUAAAUCUCAACAAAUAUGAACAAAGGUUGUAAAAAUGAGGGAAGAGACAAAAUAUGGGGUGUUCCUGCAAAAUUUACUUUCAAAGAGGGAUUUGUAUGUGUAUGUGUAUGUGAUGUGUAUGUGUAUGUGUAUGUGUAUGUGUAUGUGUAUGUGUAUGUGUAUGUGUAUGUGUAUAUGUAUAUCUGUCUCCUGGCUUCCUCUAAACACUGUAUCCACUCCGUUCAUCAGAAGCUGCACAAAGCAAACAGAGCCUGGUAUGUGGUGGUGCAGUUAGAUAAAGUCAAGAGCAGGUGACAACAGAAAGAUUAUUUUCAGGGGACUAGGAGGUAUGUCAGAGGUUAAACACUUGCUGUGAAAUCAUGAGCACUGUGGCAAGAGGGUACCCUUAGGGUAAGACUAGUCAUAGGAACAAGCUUUGGGCUCAACUGAGAAAACCUGCCACAAUGAAUAAUGUGGAGUAGCAGACAGCGACAAUUUCUGACUUCAACCUUAAGCCUGCACACAUGUGUUUGUAUACAUAGAGACAUACACACUCACAUUCAUACACAUAUACAUAUACAUUAAUAUCAUUAAAGUUGUCUUAGAGGCUGGGUGUGGUGCAUGACUCUAAUUCUAGCAUUUACCAGACUGUAAGAAGAGGGUAUCAUGUUUGGGGCUAGCCUGGACUCUGGACAACUUAGGGAGACCCUAUUAAAA